CCUCUCUCCCUCUCCCUCUCCCUCUCCCUCUCUCUCUCUCUCUCCCUCUCUUCGGAAACUGUUCAACGCGCCUGUGUUGUCGUACGAACAACCUACAAUAUUGUGGUGUUAGCACUGCUGUCGGUCGGUCGCAGGUUUGAGUCGGUCUCAUAGUAAGGGUGAUAUCGUCGUCGCUGUCCUUAGCUAGGAGUGUGGAGUGUGAACUUCUUCUGCUUUUGGAUUAGGAAAAGGAUUACUUCGGUGUUCAGGCACGGAAUAAAAAUCUUCGGCGCUGGCACUUGGCGACACGAGGCUAAUUCACCUAGCUACUUCCGAUACCUUGCAAACGACGCCUUGCUGAGAGCUUUGCACAAAUCCCAGAUCUACGCAUAAAAAGGAGCCACUAUUUUUUCUCUCUCUCUCUCUCUCUCUCUCGCUUCAGCGCAUCUGACCAAGCGUCAAUCCAACAAACAGACCCCCACAAAGUGCGCGAGGGGAGCUUCCGAUACAAUAAUUUUGGUUGCCUUCCCACAGUGCAUUCGUCUUCUGUGAAUACCAGGUAUUCUUCCGGUUGGACAAAAGCUGCCACUUUGGAUUGCAAGCCUGUGCAGUGUUGUGCCCAGCAAGCUCUUUGCUCGUCCUGCGAGACAGGGUAUACCGGCACCCCAGGUCGACAACAAUUUGGUGUCGUUUUUCCUUUUCUGAGACACGGAGAUCGAGACCAUAGCAUCGCCCACCCCCGCUGGAGUGAGAUCGUUUUCGUAGCACUUCAUCUCUCAGAUGUUUUUCUUUUCGUUUCUUUGUGGACAGAAAAGCCGUUCGUCUUUUGAUCAUUUUUCAGACA